GGAGGGGUGGCAGAGUGGUUUAAUGCAACGGUCUUGAAAACCGUCGUGGGCUAAUACCCCACCGAGAGUUCGAAUCUCUCCUCCUCCGCCA
rnacentral:tRNA from 1 species